GAGAUAUUAGGGCAGGAAUAGGAAGGAUCCGCCCCGCAGCGCGCGACUGUAAACCGCCUCCUUCCAAAGUGCAGCGGCUGAACCGGAGGAGGAACCGAACACAGCUUCGCGCGAGGAAGGGAUUCAACAAUUGGACAAGAAAAAGACCCUGUCCCCAUUCCCACAGGCAUACCCAUAUCUCCACUAAAACUAGAGUCUUAGAGAAGAGCAAUCGGAUCUUGCUAAGUUGUUGAGGCCGGCUUGUGAUCCUCCUGCCUCAGCCUCCGGAGUAGCUGGGAUUACAGGCAUGUACCACUGUGCCUGGCAAGGCAGUCAUUCACCUCUCUAUGUCUCGGUGCUUCC